CAGAGGGUGCGAGCGUUGUUCGGAAUUACUGGGCGUAAAGCGCGCGCAGGCGGCCCUUUAAGUCUACCCGUGAAAUGCCGGAGCUCAACUCCGUGCACGCCGGGGGAUACUGGGGGGCUGGAGACAUGUAGAGGCAAGCGGAAUUCCGGGUGUAGCGGUGGAAUGCGUAGAUAUCCGGAAGAACACCUGAGGCGAAGGCGGCUUGCUGGGCAUGAUCUGACGCUGAGGCGCGAAAGCGUGGGGAGCAAACAGGAUUAGAUACCCUGGUAGUCCACGCCGUAAACGAUGGGCACUAGACGCGGGUGGGAUCGACCCCUUCCGUGACGCAGCUAACGCGAUAAGUGCCCCGCCUGGGGAGUACGGCCGCAAGGCUG
rnacentral:rRNA from 1 species